UUAUUAUAUCUCAUAAUUUUCAUUCUCGAAAAGGAUAUCACAACACUUUACUAGGUCUAUUCUGGUCCUGGAAGCACAUAUUCUACGAUUGGAAAAACUGCUGUGACCCAUUUUCAGGUGACCAAGAAAGGGACUAGGUUUGAAAAAUCAGAGGGGGGGGGGGGGAAGGAGGGAAAAAAAAAGUUACAGAGAGGGCUGGGAGGCAGACAUGAGAGAGGAGGGCUAGCUGUAAGUCCUUCAGGCCCAGGGUUCCACUGACAUGCAAAAGCUCAGUAGCUGUGACCUGGCCACACUGUUGCUGAGAACUCUUGGGAGGGGAGCUCAUUUACAUGACAGCCCUGCCCCCACAGGUGAUAGCAGUUAUCAUGGGAGCCCAGCAAGCUGAUUCUGCUGAGCUGUGUUGAGAAGCUCAAUGCUGGGGCAUCUACACAGCAUGGCCUGGGCUCUUCUCCUGUUCACACUUCUGUCUCACUGCACAGGGGCCACUUCCCACGAAGUAGUGACUCAGGAAACUUCACUCUCAACAACUCCUGGAGGAACAGUCACACUCACCUGUGGCUCCAGUACUGGGGCCGUCACCACCAGUAAUUAUGCCAGCUGGGUCCAACAGAAGCCCUACCAGAGACUCCAGGGUCUGAUAGGUGGGACCAGCUACCGG